rnacentral:rRNA from 1 species
AUGGUAAAACCGCGAAUGGCUCAUUAAAUCAGCUAUGGUUCCUUAGAUCUUACAUCCAUACUUGGAUAACUGUAGUAAUUCUAGAGCUAAUACAUGCCGAAAAGCUCUGACUUAACAGUAGAGUGGCUUUAUUAGAACAAGACCAACCGGCUGCGGCUGUUGGUUUGAUGACUCUGGAUAACUUUUCUGAUCGCACGGCCAAGCGCCAGCGACGUAUCUUUCAAAUGUCUGCCCUAUCAACUAUCGAUGGUAGGUGAUAUGCCUACCAUGGUUAUGACGGGUAACGGGGAAUCAGGGUUCGAUUCCGGAGAGGGAGCCUUAGAAAUGGCUACCACAUCUAAGGAAGGCAGCAGGCGCGCAAAUUACCCACUCUCAGCUAGAGGAGGUAGUGACGAAAAAUAACGAUGCGGGACUCAUUUGAGGCUCCGCAAUUGGAAUGAGAACAAUUUAAAUCCUUUAACGAGGAACAAUUGGAGGGCAAGUCUGGUGCCAGCAGCCGCGGUAACUCCAGCUCCAAUAGCGUAUAU